CAGUGUAGCUUAAUGGUAGGGUGCAUGCCUAGCAUGCAUGAGGCCCUAGGUUCAAUCUCUAGUACUG
rnacentral:tRNA from 1 species